GGGGCUAUAGCUCAGUUGGGAGAGCGCUUGCAUGGCAUGCAAGAGGUCGUCGGUUCGAUUCCGUCUAGCUCCACCA
rnacentral:tRNA from 3 species